AGCACACGUGGAGUUCUGGGUGGGGCGCUGGGCAGAGGGACUCGGCUUCUAGGGCUCUGAGCCAGGCCGAGGGACAGACUGCUGGGAAGUCCCCAAAAGGGCAGCAGCACUGAGGGGCAGGAUUCCAGGGUCCUGGAGGCGGAAGCUCGGCCGACUGACUCCCAGUUCGAGAGAACGGGGCGGGGGCAGCCCACCAGUGCUGGAACCCGAGGGGCCGGGCGAGGAACGCUGGACUGGGAGCAGGACCCUUCUCGCCUCGGACAAGACUCCUUGUCUGGGGACCCAGCCCGACUUCAUUGUAGCUGGGUCCUCGAGAAAGCGAAAGGAGCCCUCCUUCCCCAUUGGCCUCUCCAUCGCUGCAUCCCAAGAAGAAAGACAACUCGGGCUCCACUUGCUUGCUUUUUAAUAACAGAGCAGAGAGAAUACAAGGCCAGGAGCGGGGCCUGGAGGAAAACAGGACUUGGGGUGCUCCUGUGAGAGCGACGCUGCCAACUCCAUCCCCCAGGGAUUGUGAAGGGGGUUCCUUCUGGCUGUGACAGUGCUGAACGAGGCCAGAGAGUGCAGCUGCCUGGAGGCACAAGCCUCCUCCUGAUCCAGGGGGCUCCAGGGAGACCAAAGCAGCUGUCAAGAUGAGAGAAAUUGAAAAAGAAAAUGGAAAACUCUCCAGCCUGGCUCUCAGCUUCUGCAUCUCCAUGCAAGACCAGAGACCCACAUCACUCCCUCACUCCACCCAGUUCCACUCCAACAAUACCUGGGCCCUGCCAGGAGUGAGAAAACGGUCCUCUUCCUGUGGAUAGGUUGCUCUCUCCUCUUCCAGAUCAGGGUAUUCAUUGGUGCUGGGGAAUCCACAGCCCUCUUCGCCAAGCACCACUGGCUCAGAUGCAGCCCCAGAGCUGCCCCACUGGGCCUUCUUCAGUCUGUGGAGACUUUAGGCUGAGGAGAGAAGUGCCUGGAGGCCAGGCUUCCUGUCUCUCCAUUCUUCACCUUUCUGUUCUGAAAUACUUCCUGCUGGGACUCCAGGGAGUUGUCAUUUGACCUUUAACCCUCCACUCCCAAUUUUCUGCUCCCCUCAGACUGAAGCAUAUUGUCUAGGAACCCAGAGGUGACCCCAACCUCCCCACUGUCCUCCAGUUCUAUGGUUUGCUUUCCUGUCUUCAGUGAUCUAGUUUCCACUCCUUCCAGCUCAUGUGGCUCAUCCUCCUUACUGCAGUUCCCUCCUUCUUUCCAUAUUACAGAAAUCUGUUUCAAUCACACCAAAGCCCACAGCUUCCUUCCAAGCAACCUCCCCUCAAAGCUCCCCUCAAACCUCCCCUCAAAGCUGUCAACCCCUUCCUUAGCUCAAACUGUUCUGCCCCCAAAUCCUGCAUGACUCCCAGAACCCAGAUGUCUCCCUUCCUUACUCGUUGAUGAUGCUCUGACGCCUUCUUAGGUCCUCCAGGUGGUAAGUGACAGCCCUCACCCGGGCGGGGACUCCCCCAAGGCCCUGCUGCUGCAUUCCUUCCAAACAUGGCCUCCUCUUCUUUCUUCUCCAAAGCAUUUCAGGGGGUGGGAGCUGCUCAGGAGGAUACAGACCAAGCUGGGAGCAACCAGUGGCUCUCUGUGCCAGAGAAUGGGGAAAAAGAGCUAGAAAGAAGAACUGGCUCUCUCAAGGGAGCUUGGAUUGAACUAGGUAGGGAGUCUGGGGUCUUGGGAAGACCCCUGUGAUCUCGAAAACAUGAUGACUGAUUCAUAGAAAGGAAGGCCUGGUCAGUGCACUGGUUGGGGAAUAACAGAGGGAAGCGGUAAUAAGGAGAGCUUGGGACAGGACAGCAGUGGGUGCAAUUUUAACAGAGAAAUGUUAAACGGCAGAGGGUCUGUCUUACCAGCAUGGGUGGAAUGUGCUGCUCCUCCAGCCAAGUGGGGCUGUGAAGAACAAAAA
rnacentral:lncRNA from 1 species